CUAGGGCUGUGGAAACACUGGUUGCUGGGUGGAGUUUCCUGCGCAGGCUACAAAAGCUUCGAGAGCCCUCUGCUCCUUUGCUCCUCAGUGUGCAGCCGUGCAAGGCAGUGUUCGUGAGGAGGAAGAAACUCUGUCAACAUGGCUAUGGUAUCAGAAUUUCUGAAGCAGGCAUGGUUCAUUGACAACCAGGAGCAGGAAUGUAUUAAGAGCUCAAAAGGCAUCCGUGGAGUACAGUCACAUCUAAAUUUUGAUCCAUCAGCUGAUGUUGCUGCUUUGGACAGAGCUAUUACUGUAAAAGGUGUGGAUGAAGCCACCAUCAUUGACAUCUUGACUAAGAGAACAAAUGCUCAGCGACAGCAGAUCAAAGCUGCCUAUCAGCAGGCUAAAGGAAAGAGUCUAGAAGAGGCUUUGAAAAAAGCUCUGAAAAGCCAUCUAGAAGAUGUUGUUGUGGCUUUGCUGAAAACUCCAGCUCAAUUUGAUGCUGAAGAAUUAAGAGCCUCUAUGAAGGGGCUUGGAACUGAUGAAGACACCUUAAUUGAGAUUCUGGCCUCAAGAACCAACCAAGAGAUCAGAGAAGCCAGCAGAUACUACAAGGAAGUGCUGAAGAGAGAUCUGACACAGGACAUCAUCUCUGACACAUCUGGAGAUUUUCAAAAGGCUUUGGUUGCUCUAGCCAAGGCUGACCGAUGUGAAAACCCUCAUGUGAACGAUGAACUUGCAGACAAUGAUGCCAGGGCCUUGUAUGAAGCAGGAGAGAAAAGGAAAGGAACAGAUACCAGUGUGUUUGUAACUGUUCUUACUACAAGAAGCUACCCACAUCUUCGCAGGGUCUUUCAGAAGUACGCCAAAUACAGCAAGCAUGACAUGAACAAGGUACUGGAUUUGGAGUUGAAAGGUGAUAUUGAGAAUUGCCUCACUGCCCUUGUAAAGUGUGCCACAAGCAAGCCAGCUUUCUUUGCAGAAAAACUCCAUUUGGCAAUGAAGGGACAGGAAGCAUACUGGAACCCUUCUUAUGAAACAGCAAUUAUAGUAAAAAGGGAAAAGGAGAGCAAUUAUAGAUCUUGGCAGAAACCUUGUGGAAGGCUAAUCUGUAAUGAGAUAUCCAUGAUCCUUCUGGCAGGUUUGGAACCCAUGUUGGUGAGACAGCUGGUGAUCAUGAAACAGUCUAGUCUGGUGCUGGGACCCGGCACAAAGACCUCAUCAGAAUCAUGGUUUCACGCCAUGAAGUUGAUAUGAAUGAGAUCAAAGGCUAUUACAAGAGUCUCUAUGGCAUCUCCCUCCGCCAAGCCAUUAUGGAUGAACUCAAAGGGGAUUAUGAAACCAUCCUGGUGGCUUUAUGUGGAAGUGAUAACUAAGUUUCAUGUUCCUGAAAUGCACUCAAGCCCAGUUGCUGAAAAUCUUUAUAUUUGCACGUCUAUGUAAAACAGGCUUUACACACAGAGGUUUCUGUGGAAUGGCACUUAAUGCAUAUAUAUUAUGUUGAAAACCUGUAAUCCAGAAUGUUUUUUUUCAAUAUCCUUGCUCUGAACAGCAUCAUUAUUUCUGGUUGUCGUUAUUUAUCCUAAGUGAAAGAAUGCCCCCAAGUUUCUAUUCACAUGAUUAAUUAUGAAAAUGGUAAAGUUUUCAUCUAUGCUAAGCAAAUAAACUUUCAAAAAUAGAA